GUUCAAAUUAACUUCCUGGGGCCGGUUGUAUAAAAAAGUGAUCAUAGUUAAGUGGAAAUGUCAUCCAAUAAGAAGCGCAUAUUUGAGAGUUAAUCACUAUUUAACUACAAAAUAGUGAUUAAAAAGUGAUUAAGAAUUUUAUACAACCGGCCCCUGAAAUGAACAGUAUAACACAAGUGAAAUGUGUUAGGAAAUUCUGAAAUAAUUUUGAAUGAGGACAAAACGAAAGGUAGGCCUACAUACUUUAUACUACUUAAUUUUGAUCAAUUAACACAUUUUACAAACAAGUUUUACAUACACAAUAAACAAUAAUAAACACAAAUAUUAAAAAUAUUAGAGUUGUAAAGAUGACAGGAAUGAGGGGCUUUCUUAUUUU
rnacentral:lncRNA from 1 species